AUGACCACUUGUCACUAAACUUUUGUGUGACCACCUGUUUUAAAGUACAUCUGCAUCAUUGAUCAGCAGUUGCAGAGACUGGGUGGUGAUGAGGGCAAGUGUGAAUGCAGAAGAUGGGUCUGGAGGCCACUGCAAAAAUCAAGACUAGAGAUCAUGGUGACUGGGACUAGGUAGGUGUUGAUGCAAAAAUGACAGGGGGAAGAUUGUAAGAGGAGAUGGCUUUUUGCAGAGGGGGUUCUUCCCUGUCACAUCUCUUCAGUUUACCAAAGAGAAAAAGAAAAAUCCCUAACCACGUGCUACCUUGAUUGGAUGUCGUGUCGUUUAUGUAAGGCAGGUUACCAGUUUGGCAAGGACAUUUAAAUUUAUCGUCUGACUUCUGCAGUACUGUGCCACGCAUUCCUAAGGCUUGUAUGAUAACUGUAUAUGCUGUGACUAUCAUUUGUAUGAAAGUCAGAAAUGAUCAGAAUGAGAAUGAUUUAGGAAGAUGCAGUUCUGAAAAUUCCAAAAAGAGUAUCUUCUUCAAAUGUUACAGAAGAGGAGUUUUUAAACUUCAGGAUUUGUUUGUAUGCAGAG
rnacentral:lncRNA from 10 species